rnacentral:tRNA from 1 species
AGCAGUGUGGCACAGUGGUAAUGAGUAGGGCUUGUAACCGAAAGGUUGCCAGUUCAAUUCCCCACUGGGGCACUGCUG